AUACAACACCUAUUGCUACAACACAUCUGAACACCACAACACUCACAGCUACUUCACCAACCACUCUAAAAAAUUCAACACUCAUCACUACUACACCCACAGCUACACCGACCACCGCAGUCACCAAUUCAACAUAUAUUGCAACAACAGAUUUAAACACAACAUUCACAGCAACACAACCAUCAAUUGUAACAAGUAAGUACUUUAAAAUAAUGGAAUA